UACGUAGGGUGCAAGCGUUGUCCGGAAUUAUUGGGCGUAAAGAGCUCGUAGGCGGUCUGUCGCGUCUGCUGUGAAAACUCAGGGCUUAACCCUGAGCUUGCAGUGGGUACGGGCAGACUAGAGUGCGGUAGGGGAGACUGGAAUUCCUGGUGUAGCGGUGAAAUGCGCAGAUAUCAGGAGGAACACCGAUGGCGAAGGCGGCUCACUGGACCGGAACUGACGCUGAGGCGCGAAAGCGUGGGGAGCAAACGGG
rnacentral:rRNA from 1 species